rnacentral:rRNA from 1 species
AUACAUGCAAGUCGAGCGGCAAGUUGAGUAGUAAUACUUAGCCUAGAGCGGCGCACGGGUGCGUAACGCGUAUGCAACCUACCUUUUACUGGGGGAUAGCCCGGAGAAAUCUGGAUUAAUACCCCAUGGUAUCUAUGAAUCGAUUGGUUUAUAGUUUAAAGAUUUAUCGGUAAGAGAUGGGCAUGCGUCUGAUUAGCUAGUUGGCGGGGUAACGGCCCACCAAGGCGACGAUCAGUAGGGGUUCUGAGAGGAAGGUCCCCCACACUGGCACUGAGAUACGGGCCAGACUCCUACGGGAGGCAGCAGUAGGGAAUAUUGGGCAAUGGUCGCAAGACUGACCCAGCCAUGCCGCGUGCAGGAAGACGGCCCUCUGGGUUGUAAACUGCUUUUAUCUGGGAAGAAAAAGUCCAUGCGUGGAAAAUUGCCGGUACCAGAUGAAUAAGCACCGGCUAACUCCGUGCCAGCAGCCGCGGUAAUACGGAGGGUGCAAGCGUUGUCCGGAUUUAUUGGGUUUAAAGGGUGCGUAGGCGGCUGAAUAAGUCAGCGGUGAAAGACUUCGGCUUAACCGGAGCAGUGCCGUUGAUACUGUUUAGCUUGAGUGUUGGAGGGGUACAUGGAAUUGAUGGUGUAGCGGUGAAAUGCAUAGAUACCAUCAGGAACACCGAUAGCGAAGGCAUUGUACUGGCCAACAACUGACGCUGAGGCACGAAAGUGUGGGGAUCGAACAGGAUUAGAUACCCUGGUAGUCCACACCGUAAACGAUGAUUACUCGCUGUUAUGGUGUAUGCUGUAGCGGCCAAGCGAAAGCGUUAAGUAAUCCACCUGGGGAGUACGCCGGCAACGGUGAAACUCAAAGGAAUUGACGGGGGUCCGCACAAGCGGUGGAGCAUGUGGUCUAAUUCGAUGAUA